CUGGUGGCUGAGCAGAGAAUGAGGCCUAGAGAGCUUUUUAGUUAGCUUGGAUGAAAUUAGGCUGCUUCUGAAUGAAAAAGAGCUGGAAUAUCCACAGCUCACUGAUCUGGCCUGGUUUAACAACCUCAUUUUUCUUUUUAACAGAUUUUACACUACACUUCAAUGUACUAAACAAAGAACUACAAGGUGUAUGGAAAAUUGCAGAAAGGAUGUUUUGUGAUAUCAAAACAUUUGAGAGAAAACUACAGGUUUUUGAAAGGGACCUGGAAACUGGGCAGAUGAAAUAUUUUUCAAAUCUAAAAAUGCAUUUAGAAAAUUCUACAUUUGCAGACAAUCCUCCAAGCCAUCAGGGAAUUUACAAGGAAUUUGCUAACACUGUAGCUGCUAUAAAGGGGAAUUUUAGUAACAGAUUUUUAUAGUUGCAUAAGAUGCAGACAACCCAACACAUUUCUUACUUCUCCAGAUAUAGCCAAAUUUGAAGAACUUGAUCUUCCCUGCUUGCACUGGUUGCAGUUUGGAAAUCUGGAAAUGGAUCUAUUGGAAUUUCAAGAAAGCUAUAGCUGCAAAAAUAAAUUCUAUGGCUUGUGUGCAACACUUGAGAAGACAGAGUGUGAAGUGAUGACAAAGGACAGCACAACUGAUAUACUUUUAAUUUCUUGGGAAUCUUUUAAGAAUCAUCAGGAGAGAUGCAUAAUAACUGAUCCCAUGAAAUACUGUGAAGUACUAGAGGAGACAAACCUAUAGUGGAAAAAAUAAGUGACUGCCUGUGGUCGGUUGGAAGGAGCGGUGAGCCAAGGAAUGCAGGCAGCCCCUGGAGUUGGAAAAAGGCAAAAGAGUCUUCUCUGGCACCCCCACAGGGUGUACAGUCUUGCUGAUGUGUUGAUUUUCACCUGGAAAGA